rnacentral:rRNA from 1 species
UACGGAGGGAGCUAGCGUUGUUCGGAAUUACUGGGCGUAAAGCGCGCGUAGGCGGCUUUGCAAGUUAGAGGUGAAAGCCCGGAGCUCAACUCCGGAACUGCCUUUAAAACUGCAUCGCUAGAAUCGUGGAGAGGUGAGUGGAAUUCCGAGUGUAGAGGUGAAAUUCGUAGAUAUUCGGAAGAACACCAGUGGCGAAGGCGACUCACUGGACACGUAUUGACGCUGAGGUGCGAAAGCGUGGGGAGCAAACAGG